GCAUUGGUGGUUCAGUGGUAAAAUUUCCACCUCCCAUGUGGGAGAUCCAGUUUCACUCUCUGGCCAGUGCG
rnacentral:tRNA from 1 species